rnacentral:rRNA from 1 species
AUUGAACGCUGCGGCAGGCUUAACACAUGCAAGUCGAGCGAGCGGCGGACGGGUGAGUAAUGCUUAGGAAUCUGCCUAUUUGUGGGGGACAACAUCACGAAAGGGAUGCUAAUACCGCAUACUAAUAGAUGAGUAUAAGUUGGAUUAGCUAGUUGGUGGGGUAAAGGCCUACCAAGGCGACGAUCUGUAGCGGGUCUGAGUGGAUGAUCCGCCAAAGUUGGACAGAGGCACGUCACAGACUCCUGCGGGAGGCAGCAGGGGGGAAUAGUGGGCAAUGGGGGGAACCGUGAUCCAGCCAUGCCGCGUGUGGUAAGAAGGCCUUAUGGUUGUAAAGCACUGUAAGCGAGGAGACGGUACUCGCAGAAUAAGCACCGGCUAACUCUGUGCCAGCAGCCGCGGUAAUAC